UCAAAUUUGUUUGUAAAAUGAAUCUUUUCCAUCAAUCAUGGUGUGUGUAUGAGCCAUGGGAAGAUUUCAGAAAAUAUUUCUUGACUUUGUCAAGUUUGUGUGUUUUGCCCGAAACGGCGAAAGUUGUCAAAGUCAAAAACACUUCUUAAUUAAACAUUUGUUGUUGAACUUUUCUUUUAUGACAGUAAUAACAUUUCUUUGAAAAUUUUAGUGCAUAUAUUCCCCUUAUAGUAUUCUUCUAUCACGUUAUGUACUUUAAGAGAUUUGUCAAACAGUUGAACAGUUGACAGCAGACAAACUGUGAACUGAAAUAAUAGGGUUGUUUAAUCAAAUUUCCUUUGCAAAACUUUGUGCAAUCACACAAUAGCAUGUAAGCAAUACAAAUUUCAUUGGUAGUGACUACACAAUCAAUUUGUCAGCAAUGUGAUUAAUUCUAUUUGAUGAUGGUUUAUACGUAUAAUUGUUUAUGUUUCUUUUCUUGUCAGAUUUUCUAGUUGCUUAUGACCCAUAUAAAUAGUAGUGUUCAUUAUCAAGUUGAAAAUAUUUAAAUUAUUGUUUUUAACUACAACUCUUUGUUCAUGUAUUUCAGCCAAAAAUACAGAUUGGGCGCAAUGAUAAAGUGCGAACACCAAAAGAUGUGCUCAUUAUUAUCAGGAUCGACAACAGUUUACGCUUUUGAUGAAGCAGACUUUCCAAGGAAGAGAUCAGCGUGUAACCAGAAAAGUUCAUCUUUGUCUUCAACUCUAUGGUGACAACAAUUAAUACAUAUCAUCGAAUAUACAUUUUGCCAAUCCUGGUGAAACCCGAGCUUACCAAGUUUACAUCUUAACUGUCUGUUUGGACAUUGUGUGUGGACAAUAUAUUGUGUUGUGACUGACUGUUUUAUAACAGAUAAAGUGUUUUAUUCCAGACUUAACAGGUCAUUUUUCAUCAACGGAUAACACAAAUACAAUUUUAUUGAAACGCAUGAAUUUGUAGUACAUAAUAUCAACAUUGUGUAUCUUAUGCUGUUUUUUUAAACAGUCUGUGAUCCAUAAGUAACCAUAUUAAGCAUGUUAAGUAAUUAAAGUAUGUUUAAGGAAUAUAAUGUAUACAUUUUUGUUGUUUCUGCAAACUAAGUCAGAUAAAUGAAAAUCUGUUUUAUGAUUAACGAUGAACAACUCACUCAUAGUGAUAUCACUAUAAAAUAUUCUGUACAGUAUAAUAAAUAUAUUGUAUUGUAUGCCUGAUAUGUGUUCUAAAAAUAAUAUCACUAAUGCUGUUGUAGUUCAUAUUGACAUCAAGAUAAUUAUGUGCUGUAAACAUUUGUGUUUAUGUAAUGUGUACAUUUAUAUUACUUUUGACCAUUAAUCUAUGAUGAUAUGUGCCAUUAAAUAUGUACUGCUAAUUGCUAAUUUUUUUUAUGCCCCCAGAACAUAGGUUCUUGGUGCAUAUUAAAAUCGCACCGUCAGUCAGUCAGUUAGUCCGUCCGGAUUAGUUUCCGCUCAAUAAGUCGAGCAAUUGUCAUCAGAUCUUUACCAAACUUCAUGAAUAUGUGUUAGGCUAUAACAUCUAGGUCAAGUUCGAUAAUCAGCAAAAUUGACCCAGACACUCCUGAGUUACGGUCCUUGAAUUAUUGUAAAAUUGGGAUUUUCUCGUUUCCGCUCAAUAACUCGAGCAAAUGUCUUAGGAUCUUCACCAAACUUCAUGAAAAUGUGUUAGGCGAUAAGAUCUAGGUCAAUUUCGAUAACACUCCUGAGUUAUGGCCCUUGAAAUAUUGUAAAAUUGUUUUUUUUUAGCUCACCUGAUUGAUCAGGUGAGCUUUUAUGACCGGUCUUUGUCCGUCGUAUGUCCGUCCGUCCGUUAACAUUUGCUUGUAAACACUCUAGAGGCCACAUUUCUAGUCCCAUCUUCUUGAAACUUGGUCAGAAGCUUUGUCCCAAUGAAAUCUCGGCCGAGUUCGAAACUGGGUUAUGCCGGGUCAAAAACUUGGUCACUAGGUCAAAAAAAGAAAAACCUUGUAAACACUGUAGAAGUCACAUUUCAUGCCCAAUCUUCAUGUAACUUUGUCAAAAUGUUUGUAUUAAUGAUAUCUUGGUUGAGUUCAAAAGUGGUUCCGAUUCGUUGAAAAACAUGGCCGCCUGUGGGCGGGGCAGUUUUCCUUAUUUGGCUUUAGAGAAACCUUGUAAACACUCUAGAAGUCAGAAUUUUUGCCCAAUCAUCAUGAAAGUUGGUCAAAACAUUGGUUCAAUUGAUAUCUCUAACGAGUUUGAAAAUGGUCAGGAUUGGUGAAAAAACAUGGCCGCCAGUGGGCAGGGCAUUUUUCUCAUGAAAACAUGUGAACACAGUAGAAGUCACAUUUUUGGCCCAAUUUUCAUGAAAUUUGCUCAGAAGAUUUGCUUCGUUGAUACGAGAGUUGAGUUCAAAAAUGGUUCUGGUCAGUUGAAUAACAUGGCUGCUGGGAGUGGGGCAGUUUUCUCAUUAUGCCCCCCCCCCCCCCUUUCGAAGAAGAGGGGGUAUAUUGUUUUGCUCAUUGUCGGUCCGUCGGUCCACCAGAUGGUUUCCGGAUGAUAACUCAAGAGCGCUUAUGCCAAGGAUCAUGUAACUUCAUGGGUACAUUGAUCAUGACUCGCAGAUGACCCCUAUAGAUUUUCAGGUCACUAGGUCAAAGGUCACGAUGACCCGAAAUAGUAAAAUGGUUUCCAGAUGAUAACUCAACAACGCUUAUGCCUAGGAUCAUAAAACUUCAUAGAUACAUUGAUCAUGACUUGCAGAUGACCCUAUUGAUUUUCAGGUCACUAGGUUAAAGGUCAAGGUCACGGUGACCUAAAGCAGUAAAAUGGUUUCAGGAUGAUAACUCAAGAACGCUUAUGCCUAGGAUCAUGAAACUUCAUAGAUACAUUGAUCAUGACUCGCAGAUAACCCCUAUUGAUUUUCAGGUCACUGGGUCAAGGUCACGAUGACCCGAAAUAGUAAAAUGGUUUCAGGAUGAUAGCUCAAAAACGCUUAGGCCUAGGAUCAUGAAACUUCAUAGCUACAUUGAUCAUGACUCGCAGAUGACCCCUAUUGAUUUUCAGGUCACUAGGUCAAAGGUUAAGGUCAAGGUGACCCAAAAUAGUAAAAUGGUUUCCAGAUGAUAACUCAAGAACACUUAUGCCUAGGAUUAUGAAACUCCAUAGGUACAUUGAUCAUGACUUGAAGAUCACCCCUAUUGAUUUUCAGGUCACUAGGUCAAAGGUCACGGUCAUGGUGACCUGAAAUAGUAAAAUGGUUUCUGGAUGAUAACUCAAGAACGCUUAUGCCUAGGAUCAUGAAACUUCAUAGGUACAAUGAUUAUGACUUGCAGAUGACCCCUUUUGAUUUUCAGGUCAAAGGUCAAGGUCAAGCUGAAAUAGUAAAAUGGUUUCUGGAUGAUUACUCAAGAACGCUUAUGCCUAGGUUCAUGAAACUUCAUAGGUAUAUUGAUCAUGACUCGCAGAUAACCUGUAUUGAUUAUCAGGUCACUAGGUCAAAGGUCAAGGUCACAGUGCCAAAAAACGUAUUCACACAAGGUCACUGUGACUCAACUUAGAAAAAUGGUUUCCGGAUGAUAACUCAAUAAUGCUUACGCCUAGGAUCAUGAAACUUCAUAGGUACAUUGAUCAUGACUCGCUGAUGAAAUAAUGAUGAAACUUGACCAGCAUGUUUGUCUGGACAAUAUCUAGGUCAAGUUUGACAUAUGGUAAAGAUUAAAUGAACUGACUCCUCUCAGGUGAGCAAACUAGGGCCAUCUUGGCCCUCUUGUUUAUCGUUUCCGCUCAAAAUCUCGAGCAAAUGUCAUAGGAUCUCCACCAAACUUCAUGAAAAUGUGUAAGGUCAUAAGAUCUCGUUUCCGCUCAAUAACUCAAGCAAUUGUCAUCGGAUCUACACCAAACUUCAUAAAAAUUAGUAAGGCAAUACAAUCUAGGUUAAGUUCGAUAAUCGGCCAAAUUGACCAAGACACUCCUGAGUUACAGCCCUUGAAUCAUCGAAAAACUGAGUUUGUUCUCGUUUCCACUCAAUAACUCAAGCAAUUGUCAUCGGAUCUUCACCAAACCUCAUAAAAAUGUGUAAAAUUGCGUUUCCGCUAAUAACUUAUAUGUCGCUUCAGAUGUAAAUUUCAUAUUUGGUAUGCAUGUGUAUAUGGACAAGACCUUUGGUUGCGCACACAAAUUUCGACCCCUUUGACCUUGACCUUGAACUUAGGGUCCGUGUUUUGGUUUCAAAAUCUGCAUUUAGGUUUUGAAAAAGCAUUUUUUGGGGGCAUAUGUCUUCCGAUGGAGACUACUCUUGUUUUGUUGAAAAUCAUGUUUAUGAACCUCUACAUAUGAAAUGAGGUAAUUUUGUUUUCUAUCUACACUUAUGCUAAGAUUAAUAAUAUAUCAACUAUAAAUAUAUUGUUGAUAACAUAUAGCAUUUAUAUGCAAUUGAAAAUGUACUGUUUCCAUAUCAACUGUUAACUUAAUUAAUUUUGUCUAAUCAAUUUUAUAAAUUGUUAAACAAAAUAGAAAAAUAGCUUAAUAAAACAAAAAAUGUCUGGCAGUAUAGAUGCACAACAUAAAUUUUGUCAUGAGCAGUUCUUCAUUUUAGUUCCAAGUUCGUAGCUGUACAAAAUGUUGAUUUUUCCAGAAAAUGUGCAUACAUUUUUUAUUAUAAACAUGUUUAUGAUAUUCCAUAUCUGUUUAGGGCAUU